rnacentral:snoRNA from 1 species
UCAUUGUGAUGAUGGAUUACCAAAUAUAUGUUUUCUACCAGAAAAGUUUUUCUUCAUGUUGAGCAAUUUUUCUUUGGAUGUCUGAGAGA